rnacentral:tRNA from 1 species
GGGGGUGUAGCUCAGUGGUAGAGCAUCUGCUUUGCACGCAGAGGGUCAAGGGUUCGACUCCCUUCAUCUCCACCA